CUGUAGGCGUAUGGGGACUCGGCUGCGCCGUCCUGAAGGCUCUCCAGGAUCUCGCCCUUGCCCACGUCGCUGUCGCCCACCAGCAGGAACUUGAGCAGUGCACCCGACAAGCAGUCGCCAGCUUCACCUGAGCCUUCUAGCCGCUGCCGCCGCCGCCCGCCGCUUCCCGCACAGCACCGCGCAGCCCCGCAACCCCGCCCCCGGAUGCGCAGCCGCCAUUGGCCACCCUCCGCCGGCCCUCCCCGGGCCAUUGGCCUGGCAGACUGGCCGUCACGGUCGCCCCGCCCCCACGUCUCCCCACACACACACACUGCGCCGUCGAGCCCCUGGUCGCCCCGCCCUGCCCACUCGCCACUACUAUUGGGCUCCUGCAUCCUCUUUCCCACCACCGUUGGUCUAUACGCUUGUCCGUCAAGUCAGUCCCGUCCCCGCCGUUUCGUACACAGUGUUGCGGAGGCUGGCUAUUCCCCGCCUCCUCACUGUGGCCAUUGGACACUUCCCCCUGUCCGUCCGAACCUACUGCCCUACUGCUUCCGGCAGACUGCCUCAGAGCCAUCACAGCCCUGUUCACGGAUCUGCAACACCCUGGCCUCCCGCCCCCUCGUCAUCCCUAUUGGCUACUGCUGCUAAGGCAUUUGUGCCAUGCCCCAUCAAUCAUAACCUUUUAGGUCCGUCCCUUUCCUAAUUCUCGCCAAUCAAGAGUCAAACAUUGCACAAAUCUACCCCUCCCCUUUCAUGGACAAGCAGCAGGAUAGCGACAACUCCAGCCUUAGGCGACAUGACUGAGCUCGGGUGGGCCAGACUAUCUAUCAGGCGGCGGUGGAUACUCUCACAGAGACCCCGAAGGGAAGAAACGCGACCUGAAUGUACAAUCUCGGACUCGCUUUCCCCGGGGGCAGGGCGGGGGCAGCCAAUUAGCGAUCUACGCGGCGGGGGCGAGGUUCCCUCCCAGGUAGGCGGUUCUAGGAGGCGGGACUUCCUCCUGGCUGUGGAGUGGGCCGAGCCACUGCCGAGAGUUUAGGCUCACCAAUGACUGCUCAAAUCCGCUUCAGAGCUGCUCUUCCAGGGAUUCUUUCUUGUGUGGACAUCCCUCUCAGUGGGGAUCCUGGAGGCGUGAACCAGCGACGGACAGCGCUGACCCGGCGGAUUCCAGGGUGGGCAACGCGUCGCAGGUGCACUCUGUCGGCCAGCUCCAAGAACGCUUCAUGAAUGCGUUCACAAACCCAUGUAAUCAAUUUCAAGAAAUUGAAAAAGUAAACACAAUUUGGGACCAA